UGAGACGCAGGUUUUGUUUAUUUUGGGCAAAAUUAUUAUCAGAAAAAAACCACCCGAUUGGUUCUUGCGAGUCUUGAGUCGAACAGGCGAUACAGUUGAAUGACCACGACGACCUUACGAUCAUGAGCAAAUCAAAAAAACUAAAAAGGUUCUGUG